UUUUGUUGCCCUUUCUAACAGCUCUUUGAUUGUGUGGUUAUGAAGUCUACGAUACAGUCCUGCUGUUUUAUUGGUCCUAGAUUGACCGCUCACAGUGGGAGCUCUGCAGUUGCAUUCGUUAUAAGGCAGUAAUCCAGGAUACAGUUGCACGCCUGGUGCGGUGUUUCUCAACCCUCAGACAUGCUCGUGUCCACAUGGUGUCAGACUCUAAUCCGUCUGGUAUUAUGUGUUCAUGCCACCCUCUAUGGGCUGAUGACGGUGUAAUAUCAUUUCAAGUCCAUUGGCAGGCAGUGCAUGCUGGAACACAGAAACCACCUGGAGAAAAAUAUAUAUAUAUUCCUCGAUGUCUCUUGAGCCUGCCCUGUACCUGGUAGAUGUGGGUUUCAGUCCCCCCUAAAAUCUCUGUCCUUAGACCAAGAAGUACAAGACAUAUCAAGGAAAUGGAAACAUUGUUCUGUUUAGUACUGUGCCGCUGCCGGUCACUGGGGUCAUAUUUGAGAGCUGUAUUCCCUCCUGAGUGAGAUGAGUCUCCAUAUCCCGGUAUAAAAGGCUCUCCACAUACUGUAUCCAAUAUGUUGGAAGCUUUCACUCCUGAUCCCUGAAUAAUUCAACUCCGUUGUGUGACGGGCCAGGACGUGGGACUAAGGGCUCAGAAAUCCACCUCACUCCACCUAUUUACAGCCUUAAACAUUUUAUUUUUAUUUUAGCUAUUUUAUUUUUGCUUAGUCUGCUUAUUGGUCUUUCCAUGAUGUCUAGAUGUGCUGUUAAUAGCCCGUAAUUAAUAGUUGUAACAACCCUUGGCUAAAUUAUUCAUGUUUUAUUACACUCAGAAAUAGGCCUCUAAUACUUCAAAAAGAGAAAGGAGGAAUGGUAGUCUGUCAUGGUCUUGAAACUGGAAAUGUACAUUUUUAAUAUUUAAUGGGCUCAUCAGAUGUGCUGUAGACAAGGUUUUGUGCAAAUACAAAAAUCGAAAUGGGGGGAGAAAAAGAGGAUAAAAUGUGCGGGGCUCUAAUUUACUCUGCAUUAUAAAUAGGCCUUUACAUCUGGUCUCCUGCAACUUUAAUGACUCCUCUUUCAAGAAUAUAAUUGAACACAUCUCUGCCCGACACAUUGCUUCUUUGAUCCAAGGUCACCUUCCCAGGAUGCUCCAGUCAUGUGGCGCUUUAUAAAAUUUAGUCUGAAAUGUUGAAAAAUGUCCGCUUCGUCGCUCUUAUCUGAUGCGGUGUAAUAAACACACUGAUAAUCCCUCUGUGACGGUGACCGUUAACCGGUAGCUCACAGUUAAUUUGAAGGUGUAGGUUUUAGUCAGAGCAUGACUUAAACAGCCAGUCACAGUUGUCUCCAAUACAAUAUUUACACAGUGCCAAGGGUUUAUUGGAAAUAUUGAUAUUUGACUAACUGGAGCGUGAAGUAUUACAUUAUGCAAUUUAGAAAACCCCGGCUCUACAUAUGAAUACAGAAGCAGGAUUUUAUAGUGUAAUCAUACAUUCUGAGCUUGGAAGUUGCAUUUGUGCUCUCUCUCGCUCAGCAUUCAUUUCUGCCAGGUGACAAAGCCAGUCCCUGCCCAAGGGCGGUGUUAUUGCAAUGAGAUGGUUCAUGAAUACUAAUAAAGAUGCUGUCUUGUCACAUCAAUGUAUGCAUCCAUUGCUGUUUAUUAUUCACCAGAUCUCCUUUUUAUGGUGUUCAGUUGUCAAAUGAUCCCUUUGACAUGAAUGAAAUACACGUUAAAUACUCUCAAAUACACAUACCUAAUUCAGGACUUUUAUUUGGCUGGAGGUUGCCAUUUAAAAUAUACGGUGUGAUUGUGCUUAUUGGGGAACAAUACUGUAAUACCUAUCAUUUGAUUCUAGCGGACACACUGCCGUCUGGUACCUGUCGGUCCCAAACCAAACCCUGUCUAGCAGUCUUGCAUGGAGUUAAGUGUCAAUCAGAUUAUUUUCUCAUACUAAGAAAAGUGUGCUCCGUUGAGUUCUUUGGUUGCAUAUUAUCGCUCUCCUGAUGCAGUGUCUGUUCAUUCAUAGCUUUGUAGAUUUCCUUUUGAUUUGUAUGUAAGUGUAUGCUUCCAUGGUCAUAUGUAUCAUGUGAUUUUCUUUUUUUUUUCUCAAAAAAAUUACUUGGGACAGAAUUAUACAAAAGACUGUUAAAACUGAACUCAUUUUUUCUGAAUUUAACUGAUGUAUAUUUUAAAACAAAUUAAAUAUUUUAAACUUA
ensembl:lncRNA